CAUAUCUCCUCCUACAUGUUUGACACCAGGACGAGGUGGAGCUUCUUUGAUCACAUGAGGCAAGUCGAAGUUAAUGGCAGAAAUAGAAGGAUACUUUGAAAUGAUCAUGUUAAUGGCAACUCCAGAUCCGCCGCCAACAUCCACUAAAGAGUUAAGUCCCCGGAAACCACUGUAGGUAUCAAGAACUUUGCUCAAGAUAUACGAGGAAAGAUUAUCCAUGGCUUUGUUGAAGUUCUUCACCGAUUCUUGAUUUAAGCUUAUGUGUUUGUACAUGGGUACCCCAUGGGCUUUCUCAAAUGGAUUGCCACCUUCAAGAAUUGCGUCCUUCAGGUAAAACCAUGCCUCAGUCCAAGAUUUAUCAUCAGAAGAGGAAGCAGCCAUGGAUACUCCAUCUUUAUUCUUAACGAACAACUGACCAGUAGGAGAAAGGCCAUAUCGCCUUUCGAUAACAUGAUCGUCAAGGGUUCGCAAAGAACAAGUGAGCAGCGAGUAGCA
rnacentral:misc_RNA from 1 species